rnacentral:tRNA from 1 species
GGCGAGGUAGCUCAGUGGUAGAGCAGGAGACUCAUAAGCUCUUGGUCGUGGGUUCAAUCCCCUCCCUCGCCA